AUGGCGUCGGAAGAGGAGGAUUUCCUUUUCGGCUCUUACACAGAAGAUGAGGAGGAUCUUGCUGCUGCGGAGGCGAAGGAGCAGAGGGCGAGGAGGAGAGCAGAGGGCGAGUGGGGGAUUGAGAAGGUCAUAGCGAAGCACAAGGAGCAGCAGAUGGAGCUUCGGCUGAAGUAUCUCGAGAGCCUCAAAAGCUCCGAGUAUCCAAAUCGCGGCGACAGGAAAAGUCCUCGGCUUGCAACUACCAAGUCGCCGAUGCGGAACCUGCACAAUGGAAUCGGUGGACCGGAGCUCUAUACUUCCUUGAACGUGCUCGCCGUCAAGUUGAUCAAGUGCUCGGUUCAGUUCCCAAUCGACGUUUAUGGCCACGUUUCGGUCAGGGACGACAUUGAUGCCAAGCGUGUGUUCCUCUUCCGUCGCGUUCGUGACAACUGCCAGAAGAUUAACGACGCCCAGGGUGCAUUCUUGUCCCUAACCGGUCCGUCUCGAGGAAUCGUUUUGCACAGUGCCCUUCACAUUGAGCUUGACUUGAAGAUUAGGAGUUUGGAUUCAGAAAGGGACAUUGAGAUCGCCAAUUGUUGCCUAGAGGACAAGGUAGCUACCUCUUACUCCAAAGUGAUUAGAAGCAGGGUUACCGGCCCAUUGUGCUCAGUCGACUUGACAUACGCACCUGUCCAUGAAGCAGUGGAAGCCACCUUUAAGUUUACUCUUAGUCGGAUCAAGACAAUCAUAAAAAGGCCGAAUGGAUCUGUUGCUCGGCAGUGGCGACCCUUCGACAAGGACAACAAGGAACACUGCGAAAUCCUUGGCAAGAUCACUGUUGGCAUCUCUGGAAUUGCUGAGGGUGUCCUUCUUUAUGAUGGCAGUAGUUUGGUUGGUGAAGGUGGGCUUAUUAGAUUGCAGCGUCGGGUUGUGGCUGCACCCCUGUGGCUUCCUCUAUCAAUCAACACAGUCUCUCGUGAUGGUAAGAAUGCUACCACCAGUGUUGACCCCACAAACUGUGGCUGCCAGACCUUCGUUGUGACAGCUUGUUCCUAUGAACUAGAGGGCACCAUUGUCUGGUCUUCGCUCUACUCUUCCAAGGCGGAUGACGUGCAUAUGGGUAUCCGGCCUGUAAAGCUCUCCAGUCAGCUUUAA
rnacentral:rRNA from 1 species